UAUAAAAAAUUGAAAUUUAUUAAUAUAAAAGUAAAGAAUGGACAAUUACAUGUAUGGAUAAAAAAAAUUAGAGUUACUGGUCUAAACAAUUAUAGAAUAUAUACAGAAUGAAGAUCCCCAAUCAAGACACUCUCACCUUAUGAAGAAGACAGGAUUGUAUGUAGAAGAGAUAUUACCCAUAAAAUGAUAUGUUGUUUUUUUUGUUAACCCAAUUUUUCAUAUAUGUUCAAAACAAUAAAAGGGAAAAUUGUGUUAAGUACAAUGAUCAGCAAUAUAAAAUCUGUAAAUAACUAACAUCAUGGCUACUAACUUCUGACCAGAC
rnacentral:lncRNA from 1 species